CCUACGGGAGGCAGCAGUGAGGAAUAUUGGUCAAUGGCCGGAAGGCUGAACCAGCCAUGCCGCGUGAAGGUCAGUGCCCUAUGGGCGUUAAACUUCUUUUGUGCGGGAGCAAUAAUGGUCACGUGUGGCCAGACGAGAGUACCGUACGAAUAAGCAUCGGCUAACCCCGUGCCAGCAGCCGCGGUAAUACGGGGGAUGCAAGCGUUAUCCGGAUUUAUUGGGUUUAAAGGGUGCGUAGGCUGGGAGGUAAGUCAGCGGUGAAAUGCCCCCGCUCAACGGGGUGAAGUGCCAUUGAUACUGCCUGGCUGGAAUGCGGAUGCCGUGGGAGGAAUGUGUGGUGUAGCGGUGAAAUGCAUAGAUAUCACACAGAACACCGAUUGCGAAGGCAUCUCACGAAUCCGCGAUUGACGCUGAUGCACGAAAGCGUGGGUAUCAAACAGGAUUAGAUACCCUUGUAGUC
rnacentral:rRNA from 1 species